rnacentral:rRNA from 1 species
AUUGAACGCUGGCGGCAUGCCUUACACAUGCAAGUCGAACGGUAACAGGUCUUCGGAUGCUGACGAGUGGCGAACGGGUGAGUAAUACAUCGGAACGUGCCUAGUAGUGGGGGAUAACUACUCGAAAGAGUGGCUAAUACCGCAUGAGAUCUACGGAUGAAAGCAGGGGAUCGCAAGACCUUGUGCUACUAGAGCGGCCGAUGGCAGAUUAGGUAGUUGGUGGGAUAAAAGCUUACCAAGCCGACGAUCUGUAGCUGGUCUGAGAGGACGAUCAGCCGAACUGGGACUGAGACACGGCCCAGACUCCUACGGGAGGCAGCAGUGGGGAAUUUUGGACAAUGGGCGCAAGCCUGAUCCAGCAAUGCCGCGUGCAGGAUGAAGGCCUUCGGGUCGUAAACUGCUUUUGUACGGAACGAAAAGCCCUGGGUUAAUACCCUGGGGUCAUGACGGUACCGUAAGAAUAAGCACCGGCUAACUACGUGCCAGCCGCCGCAGUAA